AAUUAUGUAAAUAAAGGCACAUGGUAAUUAAUCUAAAUAUAUAGGCAUUUAGGAGGGGCUAAUAUGUCAAUCAUCUGUUGAUGCCAGUGUCCAGCUGUUAAUCACUGACCACAAGAAAAAUAGUGUGGUCUUAUCUCAUUGUAUCAUGUGUAUUACAACAAAAGUAAUUUAUAUAACUUUGAAGUAAACAGUGAAAAGGGAAAGUUAUUAAAAAGGAGAAAAUCUAAAGGGAAAAAAAUCUUACUAAAAUGAACAAAGCUAUAUAUA
rnacentral:lncRNA from 1 species